GUGUCAGCCGCCGCGGUAAUACGUAGGUGGCAAGCGUUGUCCGGAUUUAUUGGGUUUAAAGGGUGCGUAGGCGGCCCUGUAAGUCAGUGGUGAAAUACUCUAGCUUAACUAGAGGGGUGCCAUUGAUACUGCAGGGCUUGAGUACAGACGAGGUAGGCGGAAUUGACGGUGUAGCGGUGAAAUGCAUAGAUAUCGUCAAGAACUCCGAUAGUGAAGACAGCUUACUAGGCUGUAACUGACGCUGAGGCACGAAAGUGUGGGGAUCAAACAGGAUUAGAAACCCGUGUAGUCC
rnacentral:rRNA from 1 species